GCCAGGCGUGGUGGUGCACACCUGUAAUCCCAGCUACUCGGGAGGCUGAGGCAGGAGAAUCGCUUGAACCCAGGUGGCAGGGGUUGCAGUGAGCCGAGAUUGUGCCACUGCACUCCAGCCUGGGUGACAGAGCAAGACUCCGUCUCAA
rnacentral:SRP_RNA from 2 species